rnacentral:rRNA from 1 species
GCGAGUGAAGCGGGAUGAGCUCAAAUUUAAAAUCUGGCGUCUUCGGCGUCCGAGUUGUAAUUUAGAGAAGCGUUUUCCGCGCCGGACCGUGUACAAGUCUCCUGGAACGGAGCGUCAUAGAGGGUGAGAAUCCCGUCUUUGACACGGACCCCCGGUGCUCUGUGAUACGCUCUCGAAGAGUCGAGUUGUUUGGGAAUGCAGCUCAAAAUGGGUGGUGAACUCCAUCUAAAGCUAAAUAUUGGCGAGAGACCGAUAGCGAACAAGUACCGUGAGGGAAAGAUGAAAAGCACUUUGGAAAGAGAGUGAAACAGUACGUGAAAUUGUUGAAAGGGAAACGCUUGAAGUCAGUCGCGUCUGUCAGGGUUCAGCCUCACGGUGUACUCUCUGGUAGACGGGCCAGCAUCACUUUCGAUCGUCGGACAAGGGAGUUGGGAAUGUGGCACCUUCGGGUGUGUUAUAGCCCUUCUUCGUAUACGGCGACCGGGAGUGAGGACCGCCUUUGUAGGAUGCUGGCGUAAUGGCUUUAAACGAC